rnacentral:rRNA from 1 species
UAGUCUGGGAUACCACUUGGAAACAGGUGCUAAUACCGGAUAAGAAAGCGGAUCGCAUGAUCAGCUUUUAAAAGGCGGCGUAAGCUGUCGCUAUGGGAUGGCCCCGCGGUGCAUUAGCUAGUUGGUAAGGUAAAGGCUUACCAAGGCGAUGAUGCAUGCCGAGUUGAGAGACUGAUCGGCCACAUUGGGACUGAGACACGGCCCAAACUCCUACGGGAGGCAGCAGACC